UGGCGGCGUGCCUAACACAUGCAAGUCGAGCGAGGAGAUCCUUCGGGAUGAUCCUAGCGGCGGACGGGUGAGUAACACGUGGGCAACCUGCCUCAUAGAGAGGAAUAGCCUUCCGAAAGGGAGAUUAAUACCUCAUAACAUUGCAGUUUCGCAUGGAACAGCAAUUAAAGGAGUAAUCCGCUAUGAGAUGGGCCCGCGGCGCAUUAGCUAGUUGGUGAGGUAAUGGCUCACCAAGGCGACGAUGCGUAGCCGACCUGAGAGGGUGAUCGGCCACAUUGGGACUGAGACACGGCCCAGACUCCUACGGGAGGCAGCAGUGGGGAAUAUUGCACAAUGGGGGAAACCCUGACCUGCCAGCAACGCCGCGUGAGUGAUGACGGCCUUCGGGUUGUAAAGCUCUGUCUUCAGGGACGAUAAUGACGGUACCUGAGGAGGAAGCCACGGCUAACUACGUGCCAGCCGCCGC
rnacentral:rRNA from 1 species